GAUGAACGCUGGCGGCGUGCCUAAUACAUGCAAGUCGAGCGAACGGACGAGAAGCUUGCUUCUCUGAUGUUAGCGGCGGACGGGUGAGUAACACGUGGAUAACCUACCUAUAAGACUGGGAUAACUUCGGGAAACCGGAGCUAAUACCGGAUAAUAUUUUGAACCGCAUGGUUCAAAAGUGAAAGACGGUCUUGCUGUCACUUAUAGAUGGAUCCGCGCUGCAUUAGCUAGUUGGUAAGGUAACGGCUUACCAAGGCAACGAUGCAUAGCCGACCUGAGAGGGUGAUCGGCCACACUGGAACUGAGACACGGUCCAGACUCCUACGGGAGGCAGCAGUAGGGAAUCUUCCGCAAUGGGCGAAAGCCUGACGGAGCAACGCCGCGUGAGUGAUGAAGGUCUUCGGAUCGUCAAACUCUGUUAUUAGGGAAGAACAUAUGUGUAAGUAACUGUGCACAUCUUGACGGUACCUAAUCAGAAAGCCACGGCUAACUACGUG
rnacentral:rRNA from 1 species